GAUGAACGCUGGCGGCGUGCUUAACACAUGCAAGUCGAACGAUGAAAGCGGGAGCUUGCUCCUGCUGGAUUAGUGGCGAACGGGUGAGUAACACGUGAGCAAUCUGCCCCGAACUCUGGGAUAAGCGUUGGAAACGACGUCUAAUACCGGAUACGACGCGCGAAGGCAUCUUCUGCGCGUGGAAAGAACUUCGGUUCGGGAUGAGCUCUCGGCCUAUCAGCUAGUUGGUGAGGUAACGGCCCACCAAGGCGACGACGGGUAGCCGGCCUGAGAGAGGGACCGGCCACACUGGGACUGGGACACGGCCCAUACUCCGAAGGGAGGCAGCAGUGGGGAAUAUUGCACAAUGGGCGCAAGCCUGAUGCAGCAACGCCGCGUGAGGGACGACGGCCUUCGGGUUGUAAACCUCUUUUAGUAGGGAAGAAGCGAAAGUGACGGUACCUGCAGAAAAAGCACCGGCUAACUACGUGCCAGCCGCCGCGGUAAAAC
rnacentral:rRNA from 1 species